rnacentral:rRNA from 1 species
GACGAGGGGUCCAAGCGUUGUUCGGAAUCAUUGGGCGUAAAGCGGGUGUAGGCGGCUCUAUAAGUCAGGAGUGAAAGCCCCAAGCUUAACUUGGGAAGUUGCUUUUGAUACUGCAGAGCUUGAAUGUGGGAGAGGGUAGUGGAAUUCCGAGGUGUAGUGGUGAAAUACGUAGAGUAUCUGAAGGAACACCGGUGGCGAAGGCGGCUAACCUG